rnacentral:tRNA from 2 species
GCUGAAAUAGCUCAACUGCGAGAGUGUUAGACUGAAGAUCUAAAGGUCCCUGGUUCAAUUCCAGCUUUCAGCA